GACGAACGCUGGCGGCGUGCCUAACACAUGCAAGUUGAGCGACGAACCAGGGCUUGCCCUGGGGCAAAGCAGCGAACGGGUGAGUAACACGUGGGUAACCUACCCCGAUAACCGGGACAACCCGAGGAAACUCGGGCUAAUACCGGAUGUGCUCACUGGACUUCGGUUCAGUGCGUAAAGGAAGCUUCGGCCUCCGUAUCGGGAGGGGCCCGCGGCCCAUUAGUUUGUUGGUGCGGUAACGGCUCACCAAGACCGCGAUGGGUAGCUGGUCUGAGAGGACGAUCAGCCACACUGGGACUGAGACACGGCCCAGACUCCUACGGGAGGCAGCAGUGGGGAAUCUUGCGCAAUGCGCGAAAGCGUGACGCAGCAACGCCGCGUGGGGGAAGAAGGCCUUCGGGUUGUAAACCCCUUUCAGGAGGGACGAAGGUUCGGCGGUGAAUAGCCGUCCGGACUGACGGUACCUCCACAAGAAGCCCCGGCUAACUACGUG
rnacentral:rRNA from 1 species